rnacentral:rRNA from 1 species
GACGAACGCUGGCGGCGUGCCUAAUACAUGCAAGUCGAACGCUUUUUCUUUCACCGGAGCUUGCUCCACCGAAAGAAAAAGAGUGGCGAACGGGUGAGUAACACGUGGGUAACCUGCCCAUCAGAAGGGGAUAACACUUGGAAACAGGUGCUAAUACCGUAUAACACUAUUUUCCGCAUGGAAGAAAGUUGAAAGGCGCUUUUGCGCCACUGAUGGAUGGACCCGCGGUGCAUUAGCUAGUUGGUGAGGUAACGGCUCACCAAGGCAACGAUGCAUAGCCGACCUGAGAGGGUGAUCGGCCACACUGGGACUGAGACACGGCCCAGACUCCUACGGGAGGCAGCAGUAGGGAAUCUUCGGCAAUGGACGAAAGUCUGACCGAGCAACGCCGCGUGAGUGAAGAAGGUUUUCGGAUCGUAAAACUCUGUUGUUAGAGAAGAACAAGGAUGAGAGUAGAACGUUCAUCCCUUGACGGUAUCUAACCAGAAAGCCACGGCUAACUACAUGCCAGCAGCCGCCGUAA